rnacentral:rRNA from 1 species
AGAGAGGGAGCUUGCUUCCUCGAUCGAGUGGCGAACGGGUGAGUAACGCGUGAGGAACCUGCCUUGAAGAGGGGGAUAACGAUUGGAAACGAUCGCUAAUACCGCAUGACAUAGCGGAACCGCAUGGUUCUGUUAUCAAAGAUUUAUCGCUGAUAGAUGGGCUCGCGUCCGAUUAGAUAGUUGGUGGGGUAACGGCCUACCAAGUCGACGAUCGGUAGCCGGACUGAGAGGUCGAACGGCCACAUUGGGACUGAGACACGGCCCAGACUCC